rnacentral:rRNA from 1 species
GGUGAACGCUGGCGGUAGGCCUAACACAUGCAAGUCGAACGGCAGCACAGUAAGAGCUUGCUCUUACGGGUGGCGAGUGGCGGACGGGUGAGGAAUACAUCGGAAUCUACUUUUUCGUGGGGGAUAACGUAGGGAAACUUACGCUAAUACCUCAUACGACCUACGGGUGAAAGCAGUGGAUCUUCGGACCUUGCGCGAUUGAAUGAGCCGAUGUCGGAUUAGCUAGUUGGCGGGGUAAAGGCCCACCAAGGCGACGAUCCGUAGCUGGUCUGAGAGGAUGAUCAGCCACACUGGAACUGAGACACGGUCCAGACUCCUACGGGAGGCAGCAGUGGGGAAUAUUGGACAAUGGGCGCAAGCCUGAUCCAGCCAUACCGCGUGGGUGAAGAAGGCCUUCGGGUUGUAAAGCCCUUUUGUUGGGAAAGAAAAGCAGCAGGUUAAUACCCCGCUGUUCUGACGGUACCCAAAGAAUAAGCACCGGCUAACUUCGUG